rnacentral:rRNA from 1 species
GGGUUGUGAGGUUAAGCGACUAAGCGUACACGGUGGAUGCCCUGGCAGUCAGAGGCGAUGAAGGACGUGCUAAUCUGCGAUAAGCGUCGGUAAGGUGAUAUGAACCGUUAUAACCGGCGAUUUCCGAAUGGGGAAACCCAGUGUGUUUCGACACACUAUCAUUAACUGAAUCCAUAGGUUAAUGAGGCGAACCGGGGGAACUGAAACAUCUAAGUACCCCGAGGAAAAGAAAUCAACCGAGAUUCCCCCAGUAGCGGCGAGCGAACGGGGAGCAGCCCAGAGCCUGAAUCAGUGUGUGUGUUAGUGGAAGCGUCUGGAAAGGCGCGCGAUACAGGGUGACAGCCCCGUACACAAAAAUGCACAUGCUGUGAGCUCGAUGAGUAGGGCGGGACACGUGGUAUCCUGUCUGAAUAUGGGGGGACCAUCCUCCAAGGCUAAAUACUCCUGACUGACCGAUAGUGAACCAGUACCGUGAGGGAAAGGCGAAAAGAACCCCGGCGAGGGGAGUGAAAAAGAACCUGAAACCGUGUACGUACAAGCAGUGGGAGCACGCUUCGGCGUGUGACUGCGUACCUUUUGUAUAAUGGGUCAGCGACUUAUAUUCUGUAGCAAGGUUAACCGAAUAGGGGAGCCGAAGGGAAACCGAGUCUUAACUGGGCGUUAAGUUGCAGGGUAUAGACCCGAAACCCGGUGAUCUAGCCAUGGGCAGGUUGAAGGUUGGGUAACACUAACUGGAGGACCGAACCGACUAAUGUUGAAAAAUUAGCGGAUGACUUGUGGCUGGGGGUGAAAGGCCAAUCAAACCGGGAGAUAGCUGGUUCUCCCCGAAAGCUAUUUAGGUAGCGCCUCGUGAAUUCAUCUCCGGGGGUAGAGCACUGUUUCGGCAAGGGGGUCAUCCCGACUUACCAACCCGAUGCAAACUGCGAAUACCGGAGAAUGUUAUCACGGGAGACACACGGCGGGUGCUAACGUCCGUCGUGAAGAGGGAAACAACCCAGACCGCCAGCUAAGGUCCCAAAGUCAUGGUUAAGUGGGAAACGAUGUGGGAAGGCCCAGACAGCCAGGAUGUUGGCUUAGAAGCAGCCAUCAUUUAAAGAAAGCGUAAUAGCUCACUGGUCGAGUCGGCCUGCGCGGAAGAUGUAACGGGGCUAAACCAUGCACCGAAGCUGCGGCAGCGACGCUUAUGCGUUGUUGGGUAGGGGAGCGUUCUGUAAGCCUGUGAAGGUGUGCUGUGAGGCAUGCUGGAGGUAUCAGAAGUGCGAAUGCUGACAUAAGUAACGAUAAAGCGGGUGAAAAGCCCGCUCGCCGGAAGACCAAGGGUUCCUGUCCAACGUUAAUCGGGGCAGGGUGAGUCGACCCCUAAGGCGAGGCCGAAAGGCGUAGUCGAUGGGAAACAGGUUAAUAUUCCUGUACUUGGUGUUACUGCGAAGGGGGGACGGAGAAGGCUAUGUUGGCCGGGCGACGGUUGUCCCGGUUUAAGCGUGUAGGCUGGUUUUCCAGGCAAAUCCGGAAAAUCAAGGCUGAGGCGUGAUGACGAGGCACUACGGUGCUGAAGCAACAAAUGCCCUGCUUCCAGGAAAAGCCUCUAAGCAUCAGGUAACAUCAAAUCGUACCCCAAACCGACACAGGUGGUCAGGUAGAGAAUACCAAGGCGCUUGAGAGAACUCGGGUGAAGGAACUAGGCAAAAUGGUGCCGUAACUUCGGGAGAAGGCACGCUGAUAUGUAGGUGAGGUCCCUCGCGGAUGGAGCUGAAAUCAGUCGAAGAUACCAGCUGGCUGCAACUGUUUAUUAAAAACACAGCACUGUGCAAACACGAAAGUGGACGUAUACGGUGUGACGCCUGCCCGGUGCCGGAAGGUUAAUUGAUGGGGUUAGCGCAAGCGAAGCUCUUGAUCGAAGCCCCGGUAAACGGCGGCCGUAACUAUAACGGUCCUAAGGUAGCGAAAUUCCUUGUCGGGUAAGUUCCGACCUGCACGAAUGGCGUAAUGAUGGCCAGGCUGUCUCCACCCGAGACUCAGUGAAAUUGAACUCGCUGUGAAGAUGCAGUGUACCCGCGGCAAGACGGAAAGACCCCGUGAACCUUUACUAUAGCUUGACACUGAACAUUGAGCCUUGAUGUGUAGGAUAGGUGGGAGGCUUUGAAGUGUGGACGCCAGUCUGCAUGGAGCCGACCUUGAAAUACCACCCUUUAAUGUUUGAUGUUCUAACGUUGACCCCUAAUCGGGGUUGCGGACAGUGUCUGGUGGGUAGUUUGACUGGGGCGGUCUCCUCCUAAAGAGUAACGGAGGAGCACGAAGGUUGGCUAAUCCUGGUCGGACAUCAGGAGGUUAGUGCAAUGGCAUAAGCCAGCUUGACUGCGAGCGUGACGGCGCGAGCAGGUGCGAAAGCAGGUCAUAGUGAUCCGGUGGUUCUGAAUGGAAGGGCCAUCGCUCAACGGAUAAAAGGUACUCCGGGGAUAACAGGCUGAUACCGCCCAAGAGUUCAUAUCGACGGCGGUGUUUGGCACCUCGAUGUCGGCUCAUCACAUCCUGGGGCUGAAGUAGGUCCCAAGGGUAUGGCUGUUCGCCAUUUAAAGUGGUACGCGAGCUGGGUUUAGAACGUCGUGAGACAGUUCGGUCCCUAUCUGCCGUGGGCGCUGGAGAACUGAGGGGGGCUGCUCCUAGUACGAGAGGACCGGAGUGGACGCAUCACUGGUGUUCGGGUUGUCAUGCCAAUGGCACUGCCCGGUAGCUAAAUGCGGAAGAGAUAAGUGCUGAAAGCAUCUAAGCACGAAACUUGCCCCGAGAUGAGUUCUCCCUGACUCCUUGAGAGUCCUGAAGGAACGUUGAAGACGACGACGUUGAUAGGCCGGGUGUGUAAGCGCAGCGAUGCGUUGAGCUAACCGGUACUAAUGAACCGUGAGGCUUAACCUUACAACGCCGAAGCUGUU